GCUUACCAGCGGUACCCAGAGCCAAGAGGAAGAGAGGCCCAGCUGGGACAACUCCAGUCCAUUCUGGGGCCAGUCAUUCUGAAGAGGGGAAGAACAACAAGAUGGAGGUGGACGCAAGGCUGGUGAGGCCAGCUCUAAAUUCCUCGCUCUUUGCUCCAACCAUCUGGCAAGAUUCUUCUGCAAACCCCCAACAAAAAGCUCAACAUUAGAUCAUUCUAGAUGCACGGCAGCACCUGUCCUCUGGGCAGAGUUCUUCUCACGAAGGGAACGAUGAC